rnacentral:lncRNA from 1 species
GUUCCCGUUCGCAGCCCUUCACCCUCGUGGGUGUUCCGUUCAGCCCAUUCACCCCUCUCGGGUGUUCCGUUCAGCCCUUCACCCCUCAGGGUGUUCCGUUCAGCAGCCCUUCACCCCAGGGUGUUCCGUUCAGCCCUCACCCCUCAGGGUGUUCCGUUCAGCCCUUCACCCCUCAGGGGUGUUUUCCGUUCAGCCCUUCACCCUCAGGGUGUUCCUUCAGCCCUCACCCUCAGGGUGUUCCGUUCAGCCCUUCACCCCCAGGGUGUUCCGUUCAGCCCUUCCACCCCUCAGGGUGGUUCCGUUUCAGCCCUUCUUCACCCCUCAGGGUUUUCGUUCAGCCCUUCACCCCUCAGGGUGUUUGUUCACCCCUCAGGGGUGUUCUGUUAACCCCUCAGGGUGUUCUGUUCACCCUCAGGUGUUUCUGUUCAGCCCUUCACCCCUCAGGGUGUUUCGUUCACCCCUCAGGGUGUUCUGUUCAGCCAUUCACCCCUCAGGGUGUUCUGUUCACCCCUCAGGGUGUUCUGUUCACCCCUCAGGGAGGUGUUCUGUUCAGCCCUUUCACCCCUCGGGUGUUCUGUUCACCCCUCGGGGUUCUGUUCAGCACCUCGGGGUUUUCAUGUUCACCCUCGGGGGGUUCUGUUUCAGAGCCCUGCGGGGUGUUCUGUUUCAUGUUCAGCCUCGGGGUGUUUCUUUUCACCCCUCGGGGUGUUCUGUUCAGCCCUUCACCCCUCAGGGUGUUCGUUCACCCCCUCGGGGUGUUCGUUCAGCAUUCACCACCCCUCAGGGUGUUCGUUCAGCA